AAAUUGAAGAGUUUGAUCAUGGCUCAGAUUGAACGCUGGCGGCAGGCCUAACACAUGCAAGUCGAGCGGUAGCACAGAGAGGUUGCUCUCGGGUGACGAGCGGCGGACGGGUGAGUAAUGUCUGGGAAACUGCCUGAUGGAGGGGGAUAACUACUGGAAACGGUAGCUAAUACCGCAUAACGUCGCAAGACCAAAGUGGGGGACCUUCGGGCCUCAUGCCAUCAGAUGUGCCCAGAUGGGAUUAGCUAGUAGGUGGGGUAACGGCUCACCUAGGCGACGAUCCCUAGCUGGUCUGAGAGGAUGACCAGCCACACUGGAACUGAGACACGGUCCAGACUCCUACGGGAGGCAGCAGUGGGGAAUAUUGCACAAUGGGCGCAAGCCUGAUGCAGCCAUGCCGCGUGUGUGAAGAAGGCCUUCGGGUUGUAAAGCACUUUCAGCGGGGAGGAAGGCGGUGAGGUUAAUAACCUCAUCGAUUGACGUUACCCGCAGAAGAAGCACCGGCUAACUCCGUGCCAGCAGCCGCGGUAAUACGGAGGGUGCAAGCGUUAAUCGGAAUUACUGGGCGUAAAGCGCACGCAGGCGGUCUGUCAAGUCGGA
rnacentral:rRNA from 1 species